CAUUAUGUAACAGUCUGCAUUUCAGGGACAAAGUCUACAGUAAUGAAUAAAGCAUAAGCAGCACAGUGCUUCUGAUUUAGGAAAAAGCAUCGAUUCAUGAGGAAAAGUAUAAUAAGGGCAGGAGCUGUUUAUCAUUGCUUUCUAAAAGAGCUGACAUGCUCAGUCUACAUAACAAGAGAGCUAUUCAUCUAAAACUCUGCUCCCUUAUUUCCCUUAAAAAAUCGGUUGGGUGCUCGUGCUGCAGUCUGCAAGGUCCCAGGAAAAAAAAAGUGAAGAGUGCUCUUUUGAACUUUGAAUGUUUAAUCAAGAUUGGAAGUGAUCUCUUCAAGAAGGUUGAAUAGAGAUCUCCUGGGAAUGCGGAAGAUGAGCAUAGUGUCCAAAUUAGGCAUGGUUCCAGUGCCGCACUCUUUCUAUGGGAUCUGGUCAUUGCAUCUGGUUCAAGUCAUCUCCAUCAUGUUCAGCCUCUAUUAGAAGCCCUUGACAUCUUAACAAGGAUCUACAUUGUGUAAAUGUCACCCUGCAAUCUCAAAGAUUAUCAUUCUUCUCUCACUCCAUUCACGAAAGGACAAAAACAAAUGUGUAUAGUGCUACAGAGGUGAAAUUGCGGAGAUAAUCAUGGCUUCACACAUUAAUCUCGCUAUUGUAUUUAAAUCCUAGAAUUGCUAGAUUAUUAUUCACCACAUUGCAAAAUGAUUGAACAUGCUGUCACAUUGGAUGGAAAAAGAAAAAGACUAUACAAGAAUAGAAAGAUAAUCUUAUAGUUAAACAAAAAGAGAUGAUCCAAUGCACUAUACCACCAAAAGUAUGCGGAUACCUGAUCACUACAUUCAUAUGCAGAUCUACCAUAAACGGUUGCAAACAUGGAGUUUUCUAGAAUGUCUUUGUAUUUUGUAGCAUUUUCCUUCAGUCAAACUAAGAUGUCCAAACCUGCUCCAGUAUGACAAUGCUCCUGUGCACAAAGUGAGGUCUAUCAUGACAUGGUUUGCCAAGGUUGGCAUAGAACUUGAGUGGCCUGCAAAGAACCCUGACCUCAACAGCAACACUUUGUAAUUACUGUAAGUGAAAUGCUGUCUGUAUCGCAAACCUCCGCAUCAGACAUCAGUGCCUGACCUCAUGAAUUAACACAGCCAUGCUAAAAAAUCUAGUAGUGGGAGUAAAAGGUGGGAGUAAAUAUGGAAUAUGAUGCUCAGCAAGCAAAUGUGUCUGAUUUUAUCAUUGCACUCAAAUUUUAUUGGUCACAUCCAUACAGCCAUACACAGUACAAUAAGUAAAGUAAUCUUUAUGAUAAUUAUACUACAGUAACAACUAACACAGGGACUUGUUACUCACACUAUGAUGGAUGAUGGAUAAUUUUUUUUAUUAAAAUGCAUAGAAUUGUUGAUAUGGAGAUGUUUUAGUUGAUGAGAUGUUUUUUUAUGAGUCCGUAGUAGAGGUCUUCUCGGGUCUAAAGAAAUGUCACUUUUUACCCAAACCCGACGUGCAUAAUUUAUUAUUUAUUUUUUUAAAGAAAGCCCCGACCCGAGACAAAC